rnacentral:rRNA from 1 species
GAUGAACGCUGGCGGCGCGCCUAACUCAUGCAAGUCGAACGAUUAAAGCACCUUCGGGUGUGUAUAAAGUGGCGAACGGCUGAGUAACACGUGGGCAACCUGCCCCUUUCAUUGGGAUAGCCACGGGAAACCGUGGAUAAUACCGAAUACUUCGAGACUUCCGCAUGGAAGACUCGAGAAGGCUCCGGCGGAGAGGGAUGGGCCCGCGGCCUGUUAGCUUGUUGGUGGGGUAACGGCCUACCAAGGCAAUGAUGGGUAGCUGGGUUGAGAGACCGACCAGCCAGAUUGGGACUGAGACACGGCCCAGACUCCUACGGGAGGCAGCAGUGGGGAAUCUUGCACAAUGGGCGAAAGCCUGAUGCAGCGACGCCGCGUGCGGGAUGAAGGCCUUCGGGUUGUAAACCGCUUCCAGCAGGGACGAGGCGAAAGUGACGGUACCUGCAGAAGAGGCCCCGGCUAACUACGUG